CUGCAGAAAUCAAUAUUAAUCAGGGUCAGGAUUCAGGAGACUCAGCAGUCGAUCAGGAUUCAGACUCCCAAAAGACAAAAAACAGAAGAUAUGUAGGGCAAACCCUUGAAGGAGUAAAGCAGCAUGUAUGUAAGAGAAAUUGUCUUUCUAAUGGAGCCUUCUGAUGGCGAAACUGCCGUGGAAUAUAUUGAGUUGCUCUUCAAGAUGUCAAUUCAGAAAAUGCUGGCAUCUCCUUGAUUGUGCAGGAAUUUCUGUGUACAACUUGAAAGCUAU